UGUAAAAAAUUGUGUAGUUAUAUAUUUUAUUAAUCACAUGCAUGAUUCCUCCUUUCUUAUUAUGGAGGUAAAUGUUACUGCAAUGAUCUCGAAAACAUAUUACUUGAAAACCUAGCUGACACCUGGACAUUGAUAUAUUUUACUGAUCACGUGCAUGAUUCCUUAAAUGGUUCCUCCUCUCUCAUUUUGGAGCUAAAAAUGUUACAGCCAUGACCUCAACAACAUAUUGCUUGAAAACCUAGCUGACACCAGGACAUUGCAAGCAGUUUUUGAACUCGAAGCUCUUGUUCUUACAGGUCAUUGCUCGGAGAAAGAUCAUGAACCUCCCCGAGGCCUGCAGUUGAUCCUUGGAACCGAAAGUUCUCCCCACAUGGUUGACACCCUUGUCAUGGUGAAGCAACCUAUGAAACUAUAUUGAUAUGCUUUUUAACAUUGCAUCCUUUGGAGAAAACCCUUUGUUAUUAGUAAAAUUUUGCCUUAGACCCUUUUCUUAACACUCUGUCCCUCUGACAAAUGUCGAAUAUUUUCGAGAAUUAAUCCAGAAAGAAUCUUCGAAGGUAAGAUAAAUCUGGAUUGAGGUAGUGCUUAACAUAGUCCUAAUCUGUUGAAAUACAAAGGCUGGUAUUGUCUCUAUGUGCAAAUCUAAUUCCCAACACUGUCUUGUUCUUCUGAAUUCUUAUUUGUCUGGUAUUAAAUAUGACGACUUUGUUAUUCAAAUUUGGAUUUAAACUGAGCAUUUUGUUCCUUGUUUUA